AGGUACAGCACAGCUCAAUGCACAGACACAGGUACAGCACAGCUCAAUGCACUGACACAGGUACAGCACAGCUCAAUGCACAGACACUCUCAGGUACAGCACAGCUUAAUGCACUCACACAGGUACAGCACAGCUCAAUGCACAGACACUCUCAGGUACAGCACAGCUCAAUGCACUGACACAGGUACAGCACAGCUCAAUGCACAGACACAGGCGCAGGUAUUAAUCUGUGUCUGUGAAACCGGCCCUGUAUGUAACUGCAGUCUUCUCUCUGUUGACAGAUUCUCGUUCUGAAGGGUAAGCUCAGACACUUCAUUUUUUUUUCAUCUGUCAGUAAAAUUGUCUCAUUAAUACUCCGUUUGGUGCUUUAUGUGAUUAACUUUAUUCAGCUUUAUCGUUUUGUGAAGAGGUUAUUCUAGCAUAAAUUCCAAGCUUCUGACAGAACAUCUCACUGUAGAUGAAAUAUCCUUGAGCCCAUUAUUUUUAACUGCUGAGCCGAUUUUAUUGCGAUCUUGACUGCGAUGUAGAGCUAAUGUUUUGUUUUCUGUGUGAAGUCAGCAGCAUGGCUAUUGCACACACACAUAUGCAUUUUACCUAUACGGUAUGAAGGAGCACAGAAUGCUUUGACUUUCAUGCGAACUCCAAAGUAUGACUGCCAUUACGAAAAGUCGAGCUUUUCUGUGCCAACGCACAGGGCAUCUGCCCACUUCAUUGCAAGUUUGUGCAACCUUUUUCGCCAAACCGUCAAAGCCUGUGGUUUUUGUGGUGUUCAGCAUGUGGCAUGAAUCUCUCAAGGGUGUGAAGUGAAAUGCAAACCACCUCGUGCCGGGCCUCUUAUUAACGGAUUUAAAUACAGAGAGUUUUCUGAGCUGGCUGCCGACACCAUUUGGCAGGCAGAAACAUCUCGAAGCGCGUUGUCUGCGCGUGGAAUCUAUUAACGUCUCGGUGCUUUCCUCCCCUCAGCGCACUUCCUCCCCUCAGCGAGAGCCAGGGUGCUUCGCCGGACCCCAUCUACUCUGUGCUAGAGCUCAGCAGUAAAAGAGCAAGACAGCGGGAGCCAGUGCCCCACACUGUGGACGAAUCACAGCCGAUCUACACCGAGGUCAAAUUCCCUCUCGCGCCCAGAAAUCGAAACAUAAGGGAAGCUACUGAAUCUACCAUUUACAGUACGGUAAUAUUUCGGAAUGCCUGAGGCCACCAUGGUGCCAGACGAAAUCGCCAAAACAGUGACCAUAGCGUGAUGGAUACGGCCUAGCUGGACGUACUGGCCAGAUCUCAGAAUGACAGUUUUUGAAAGAGACCGUUUGUGAUUGUACACUUUGGUUAGUGACGUGUCGACAAUUCACGGAUCUGCUAGGGCUGCAUUCAAAUUGUACUGUCAAGUAAAGAGUGAAAGCACUUUUAGUAUGUACUUCCCCUGGAUCUGUGGUCCGAGCAGGGUUGCUAAGGCCUACAGGCCAAUCAUAAUAUACUCUUUCCCCCAAUAAAGUUUUAGCAUCAAACAAUGGAACCUGAAAACCUGACAAGACUUGUAUUCGUCCAGCAUUUGUCCUCAAUUCAUCGCUCAAUUCACAAUUAAAUGCAAUUGUUCUUUUUUUGCCUUCCACAGCAUCAUUUGGGUAGUUCACCAACAGACAUCGACAAAAUUAACUCUCCCAAUUGUGUUCGCCAAGCAAAUAACUUAACACUUGGCUUAAAGUUCACGUCUAAAUCAAGGGCGUUGAUUGAAUCCAGAUGCCACUGCGCACUGCCACAUGUCCGCAAAGAUGACGUUUCAUAGCAGGUUGGAUUUGAAUUCACCCCGUGUGAUGGUCCACAUACACAAGCUGCCUGUACAAGGCCAGACACCCUCUUACCUCUAUUGCAAACCAGCAACCCAGCAGCAGUUGUUUUUGUUUUUGCUUUCAAAAUUGUUUAUGCUGGUUUACAGCCUGUAUAUAUCGUUCCAGUGGUUUAUGGAGCAAAAUAAAGUGCACUUUAUUCA